GGUUGUGACAGUCUCCAGUCCCUUGUCCCAGGCCACACCUGGAAGGUGGAUGGGGUGAGUCUUGGUAUCAUGAUGGGCUCUUGGCUUGUGACAGGACUCAGACGUUUGGGGACACAUGGCCCCUGUGCCUAUGGAUUUGUCUGUGCACAAGAGGAUGGAGAUGAGGGCUAGAGGCAAAGGCUAGACUGAGGAAGCAGCAGCGGGAGCUUGUGGGGGAUGAGUGGGGAACACGAAGGAGAAUGCUCCUGGGACCUCCAGGGACCCUGACACCUCUCUACUUUGGAGAAGUCCCUUUGUAGGGACUGGGACUCUGGGAGAGUCAGCACGUGAGCUCUCACGGAGGGCAAGAACAUGACCUUCACCCUUUAAUUUC
rnacentral:lncRNA from 1 species